UACGUAGGGGGCAAGCGUUGUCCGGAAUUAUUGGGCGUAAAGCGCGCGCAGGCGGUUUUGUAAGUCUGUCGUGAAAUCCCCGGGCUCAACCUGGGAAUUGCGAUGGAGACUGCAAGGCUAGAAUCUGGCAGAGGGGGGUAGAAUUCCACGUGUAGCAGUGAAAUGCGUAGAGAUGUGGAGGAACACCGAUGGCGAAGGCAGCCCCCUGGGUCAAGAUUGACGCUCAUGCACGAAAGCGUGGGGAGCAAACAGG
rnacentral:rRNA from 1 species